UUUUUCUUUUUCUGCAAGACCCGAUGGCAGAGAUCAUGAAAAUGAAUGCCCUGCAUUCUGCCAAAUGCAAGACUUGAGCUAUACCUUUACACAGACCCGGUGUUGUCCGGGCUAGCUGAAAACGGUUCAGUGUAACUUUCGCCUCUCUAUCCACAUUAAUGUCCUGAAAGUGGCAGGGCAUUUUGCCAGGAAAAGAAUCUGUCUUGAAGACGACUUGGGUUUACAGAGCUAAUUCCUCGUGGAAUAUGACAAGGUCUGCUGGGGCUGGGGUGUCCUCCAGCUUUUGGAGGGAGAGGGCUGCCGCUCCUGCCGCUGCCCUGCGCAGCUCCCCGGCGCUCUGCUCUUCCCCUGGGAGUCCGCCGCUGCGCGGGAGGAACGCAGGGACCUCGGAGGCUCCUCUGGAGGCACAUUUUCCUCGCAGCCCUCCGCGGAAGAAAAUGCCAGCGCUGCUGAGUUGGUGUUGUAGAUCCCUCAUUUGCUCCUUUGUGGCGUGCAGAGCAGCUUCCCAUUAAAGGAGAUCAGGGGUAAUUAGCCGCAUUAUUUUGACAAGUUGGCUCGAGCAGUUCCCUUUCUCGCAGGGCUGCGGCGGGGGAGAGGGCUCGCUUCGUGCCGCCGCCUCCUUCCCCGGGUGCGGCGCUGCCCUGCGGAGCGGCUCCCCGGUGCCGGUCGCGCCCCGCCCGGACUGCGGCCUCCAGUGCCCGGUGGCAAGCGGGGCACUGGGAGUGGAAACGCAGAGGCUGAAGCUGCCCUGCAGAAGCCAGUGAAGGUGUUGCCCCGUGACCUUAUCCGAUGUCAAAGCCAGCGCCAGGAGUGCGUAAGGAGCACAGGGCUGAGCCAGACCUGUGCCCUUGUGCGAUGAAAACGUGUAUGAAAGACAAAAAAUUGAGAGAGUAGACAAAAUCAGAGUAUUUUCCCGCAAGUCCUUCUUCUGCCAUGGUCAGCUGCCCUGUAGCACCUACAAAAUGAAGCCAAAGCACUUAAUCUCUGUGCCGUUUCUUCAUUAAGGUAAUCAGAUGCUCCAGCAGUGUAGUGCUCUCGGUGGUGUGUCCACAGGCAACCUGAAAAAAAGUGAAAUCAGUGUAUAUACCUGCUACUCACUGUUGACCUCUAUUGGAUUUGACUCCUCACCUGGCUGAAGGAAGCGUGAAGCUUUGCAGUAUUUGGGGUUAUGAGCACAAAGGGGAUCUAAGUAAGAGGCAGAACGCUACAAAAUGAACCCACUAUGGCCAAAGCCAAAGCUGAGAUUCUUGUACGCCAGCCCUGGCUGUCCAGGAAUUGGGAGGACCAGGUAUAAAAGGUUGCUUCACAGGCCUUCAGCCCAGUGCAAGACCGAGAUAAGAAAUCUGUGGGAUCCCCGCGAGUUGCUGAGGACAGAAAAAGCCCUUGGUGUGGAGGAGCAGUUGCACACACAGGGCAUACAUAUCGCAGCCAGCAGGGCUUACAAAUGUAAAUAAGGGCAGAUUGAUUAGGAACAACAUUAUCGCUAGGAAUGUAGCGCGCAGGCAUCAGCUAUGAGGCAAACUGGGGGCAGCCGCUGCUCUGACCACCCAAGUGGAGACUUUUACACUGACACUUCUUAAGGAAAAAAAAAAAAAAUAAUACAGAAACAAGGCCAAUUAGAUCCCUGCAGUAAUUCAUCUCUUGUGUAUGCUUAAAAAGAAAAAAAAAAAAAAAAAUCCGUCCAGACCACAGGGAGAGAGGGGAGAUUAAGAUAGCGCUUGUUAAAUUUGAGUCUUCAGGCUGGGUUUUGGAACCAGGAGCAAGGACGGGCGCUGGGCUAUUGUGUGAAACCUAGCAAGCAGGAGGCAGGCAGGGCAGCUCUGGGGGCUCGAGGUGCUUGAAGGGACACUCCUCUCCGGUUUUGGAGCCUGCCGGGAGGCUGAAGAACCAAAAUGCCUCUUCAUCUAUACCUUCUUUUUCCGUCCCCCAGCUCUGCCACCCCAUCAGACCCAGUGAAGUUGAGCAGGAGCAGUGGCACAUCUAUUCCUAGUGAGACAGACGGUCACUCUCCCAAGAGGGAAUUUGAAUUGGAGGUGACCGACUGCAUCCCAGGUGCGGGUUUCAACCUCCAACAGAAAACGAUCUCCCCCUCCAACCUCUUUAGGUUUCCUUCUCCUGUAUGUAUGCAUCUACGUGUGCGUGCUGUGACAGCUUGCUGUUCCCAGCAGCUUUCCUGGAGACAGUCCUGUGCGAAGCACAGGGCCCGGCCCUACCGGAGACAGGUCUCCCCCAGCGUGGGAAAAACGGAGGUGGGACGGAAAGGAACAGGGACCCCCUCACCGGCGGCUGUCACUCCGGAAAGCCCCUGUCUGUGGGUACCUACAGGCAGUGGCAUGGAGGGGACCUCCGCAUAGGCGGUGCGGUGGGUGCGCAGCUCGCUCCCGCCGGCGGCCCUGGGGCUCUAUGCCUGGCAGCCCGGCGAACCUCGCCGCAAGGAGGAGGGCGCGGGCAGCGCCCAGGGGUCGGAGGUUUAGCCCACGGCCGCUGCCCCGGGCACGCGCGGCGGGACUGAAGGGAGAGGUGCGCGGCACCGGGAGGUGGGCUACCGCGCUGCGCCUGCACCUCAGGUCCCCACGCUUCCCUCUUUUUCUCUAUCCUCCCCUCCCCAAGCCGAGCGAACGCACGGCGGGCAGCCCCCCACCCGCAAGCGCCCCCCGGUCCGGGCGUGGGGCGGGUUAACCGCUGCCCUCCGCACCGGUGCGCGCGGAGGUCCGCCGGGGCGCAGAGCCUCCGCGGGAAGCCGCUCUGGGGGCCGGGGCGCGCAGCCCCGGGGCUGGGGGCACUGCGCGCAGCUAUAACGGCAGCAACUAAAGGCUGAUUCUCAAUGAACAGAGACGGGGAGAAGCGGUGCCAAAAAAGUAAACAAUCGCGUAUAGUUCAAGAAGUGUUUAGCGCGGCCAGGCAGGCUGCGUUUCAUGGACUUUUACACUAAAAACAUAUUAAAAUUGGCUUUCCUCAGGUUUCAGUUAAAGAAUGAGCCCUAAGUCGAAACAGGCUAGCUACCGAGCGGGUUUAAAUCCCUUAAGUGUUAAGUUUUCAUUGUGCUUUUCUAACUGGACGGAGUGGUUUUCUUGCAAGGAACUAAGACUCUUCUUUAGUUAAAAAAGAAAGAGAGAGGGAGAAAAAUCUGGCACUUUCUACCGCAGUAUCCACCACCCUGUCAUUAUUUCUGCAAGCCUGGGAAUUCAGCUCGGACCUCCCAGUAUUUGUUGCAGCUUGAGGCCAAGGUGCCUCUAAAAGGAUUUUCUUUUAAGGGCUUUAGAAAUCGUUUAAUGCUGCUUUCCCCCCGUUUCCCUCUCUUUUUUAAAAGGGGGAAAAUAUAUUUCUGUAUGUCGAUCGCGAGAAAGUUCCUCGCGUGUAUUUGUCUGCAAGCAUCCUGGGCGCAAAAAAAGGGAAAAAAAAAAAAAAAAGAGAGAGAGAG
rnacentral:lncRNA from 1 species